rnacentral:rRNA from 1 species
AUGAAGCUGGAUUCGCUAGUAAUCGCGCAUCAGCCACGGCGCGGUGAAUACGUUCCCGGGCCUUGUACACACCGCCCGUCAAGCCAUGGAAGCCGGGAGUGCCUGAAGUGCGUGACCGCAAGGAUCGACCUAGGGCAAAACUGGUGACUGGGGCUAAGUCGUAACAAGGUAUC